GCUUCCUUGGCUCAGUUGGCUAGAGCGCAGGUCUCAUACAUUCGUAUGAAGCUUCAUAGAAGCUGCAAUCCUGAGGUCGCAAGUUCGAGCCUUGCAGGGAGCA